rnacentral:rRNA from 1 species
UACGUAGGUGGAAAGCGUUGUCCGGAAUUAUUGGGCGUAAAGCGCGCGCAGGCGGCCUCUUAAGUCUGAUGUGAAAGCCCCCGGCUCAACCGGGGAGGGCCAUUGGAAACUGGGAGGCUUGAGUAUAGGAGAGAAGAGUGGAAUUCCACGUGUAGCGGUGAAAUGCGUAGAGAUGUGGAGGAACACCAGUGGCGAAGGCGACUCUUUGGCCUAUAACUGACGCUGAGGCGCGAAAGCGUGGGGAGCAAACAGG